rnacentral:rRNA from 1 species
GAUGAACGCUGGCGGCGUGCCUAAUACAUGCAAGUCGAGCGAACAGACGAGGAGCUUGCUCCUCUGACGUUAGCGGCGGACGGGUGAGUAACACGUGGAUAACCUACCUAUAAGACUGGGAUAACUUUGGGAAACCGGAGCUAAUACCGGAUAAUAUAUUGAACCGCAUGGUUCAAUAGUGAAAGACGGUUUUGCUGUCACUUAUAGAUGGAUCCGCGCCGCAUUAGCUAGUUGGUAAGGUAACGGCUUACCAAGGCGACGAUGCGUAGCCGACCUGAGAGGGUGAUCGGCCACACUGGAACUGAGACACGGUCCAGACUCCUACGGGAGGCAGCAGUAGGGAAUCUGCCGCAAUGGGCGAAAGCCGGACGGAGCAACGCCGCGUGAGUGAUGAAGGUCUUCGGAUCGUAAAACUCUGUUAUUAGGGAAGAACAAAUGUGUAAGUAACUAUGCACGUCUUGACGGUACCUAAUCAGAAAGCCACGGCUAACUACGUG